rnacentral:rRNA from 1 species
GACGAACGCUGGCGGCGUGCUUAACACAUGCAAGUCGAACGAUGAAGCCUAGCUUGCUAGGUGGAUUAGUGGCGGACGGGUGAGUAAUACGUGAGUAACCUACCUUUAACUCUGGGAUAAGCCCGGGAAACUGGGUCUAAUACCGGAUACGACCAAUCUCCGCAUGGGGUGUUGGUGGAAAGCGUUAUGUAGUGGUUAUAGAUGGGCUCACGGCCUAUCAGCUUGUUGGUGAGGUAACGGCUCACCAAGGCGACGACGGGUAGCUGGCCUGAGAGGGUGACCGGCCACACUGGGACUGAGACACGGCCCAGACUCCUACGGGAGGCAGCAGUGGGGAAUAUUGCACAAUGGGCGCAAGCCUGAUGCAGCGACGCCGCGUGAGGGAUGACGGCCUUCGGGUUGUAAACCUCUGUUAGCAGGGAAGAAGAGAAAUUGACGGUACCUGCAGAGAAAGCGCCGGCUAACUACGUGC